UGAUCCAGAACAAUGGAAGGAUGCACAGCCGCAGGGGUCUGAGCUGAAUCUUGGGAGAAGCACAAUGUCAAGUACCCUGAGCACAACCACAGAGGGUCCCCCUCCAAUACACAGAAAGAAAUGUAUGCCCACGGACCGUCCUAUGAUACUUACAGGUCAGGGGAUGGCUCAUGGCAGGAGCUGAGCACCACCAGGGGCAGAGACGCUGAAAUGUCUCUGAAUCCCGAGGACAGCAGCUCCCUUGAGAACACAGGUGAAUACAAGAACCCUGUCCCUGCCCGUCCCUGAGCUCGUCCCUGAGAGGCAGAGACGGCUCUCUGUAAUGUCAGCUUCCCAGAAUGAAACGCCUCAACUGCCAAGCCAGAGAACUGAAGGAUCAAAGAGGAUCUUCCACUGCCAGGUCAACAGUUGGAUCUAAGAGAGGUGGACGCAGAGAGCUUUGUGACAUAAGAAGGAAUUUCCCAAGCUCCAUAGCUGUCUUCUAGAGCAUCAGAAGAACACUCACAAUGACUAGCAGUGUCUAGUUUAGAAGAUCAAUUUAGUGUAGAAUGAAUUCAAGAUCUUGGAUAAACAACAUAACUUGAUGAUCUGCCAACCAGUCUUGCAAUGUGAAAUCUAGUAAAUACUCCCCUAAUGCCGCUACUGACAUGGUGAUCUAAGAGAGACCUUCGGCAUUGGAGUUUGACAGAUGAGGCUGAAAUUCUGACUUGAAAUUGCAUUGUAAAUUUCUACUCUAGG